UUUCUCUACCUUAUACCUUCCAGGCACUGAUAUUGACUUCGCUCUGUGUCCAUUUCAUGAACCUGCGUUCUUUUCUAGUCUUCGCCUCUCUCCAAGUUACUGUCUAUGGAAAAAUUGAAGCUGUGUUUACGUGAAAAAGAAAAUCAUUGGUAAAUGCUGCAGAAAAAGAUUCUUCCUUCCUAUAUCACCUAUCUUUUUGAGAAAUUAAGAGAAUUUUGGUCAAGAGAAGAAAAGAAUUGGAGUAUUUGUAGAUAUCUCACAAAAUAAGUGAGAGAUGUCACAUCCAGAAGAUCUUCUCUCCCCGACAAAAGAAGAUUCAUGGAAGGGAUACCAUUUGAGAAUUACUCAUCCUGAGCAGAGCACCUUCAAAGAAAACUGGACCUGGAAGGGGAGAAGAAGGCCUUGGUUUUGCUGAGAUCCUGGCAAGGAAGCACAUACACAGGACUUUACUCUUAUCUGGGUGGCCUAGAUCC
rnacentral:lncRNA from 1 species